rnacentral:rRNA from 1 species
GACGAACGCUGGCGGCGUGCUUAACACAUGCAAGUCGAACGGAAAGGCCCUGCUUUUGUGGGGUGCUCGAGUGGCGAACGGGUGAGUAACACGUGAGUAACCUGCCCUUGACUUUGGGAUAACUUCAGGAAACUGGGGCUAAUACCGGAUAGGAGCUCCUGCUGCAUGGUGGGGGUUGGAAUGUUUCGGCGGUUGGGGAUGGACUCGCGGCCUAUCAGCUUGUUGGUGGGGUAGUGGCUUACCAAGGCUUUGACGGGUAGCCGGCCUGAGAGGGUGACCGGCCACAUUGGGACUGAGAUACGGCCCAGACUCCUACGGGAGGCAGCAGUGGGGAAUAUUGCACAAUGGGCGGAAGCCUGAUGCAGCAACGCCGCGUGCGGGAUGACGGCCUUCGGGUUGUAAACCGCUUUCGCCUGUGACGAAGCGUGAGUGACGGUAGUGGGUAAAGAGGCACCGGCUAACUACGUG